GACAGAGGGUGCAAACGUUGUUCGGAUUUACUGGGCGUAAAGGGCUCGUAGGCGGCCAACUAAGUCAGACGUGAAAUCCCUCGGCUUAACCGGGGAACUGCGUCUGAUACUGGAUGGCUUGAAUCCGGGAGAGGGAUGCGGAAUUCCAGGUGUAGCGGUGAAAUGCGUAGAUAUCUGGAGGAACACCGGUGGCGAAGGCGGCAUCCUGGACCGGCAUUGACGCUGAGGAGCGAAAGCCAGGGGAGCAAACGGG
rnacentral:rRNA from 1 species